CCUAUGGGAGGCAGCAGUGGGGGAUAUUGCACAAUGGGGGGAACCCUGAUGCAGCGACGCCGCGUGGGUGAAGGAGCGUUUAGGCGCGUAAAGCCCUAUCGGCAGGGAAGAAGAUGACGGUACCUGGCCAAGAAGCCCAGGCUAACUACGGGCAAGCAGCCGCGGUAAUAAGUAGGGGGCCAGCGUUAUACGGAUUUACUGGGUGUUAUGGGGGCGCAGACGGCAUUGCAAGCCAGUAGUGAAAGCCCGGGGCCCAACCCCGGGACUGCUCUUGGAACUGCAUGGCUGGAGUACAGGAGGGGCAGGCGGAAUUCGUAGUGUAGCGGUGAAAUGCGUAGAUAUUAGGAGGAACACCGGUGGCGAAGGCGGCCUGCUGGACUGUGACUGACGUUGAGGCCCGAAGGCGUGGGGAGCAAACAGGAUUAGAUACCCCGGUAGUC
rnacentral:rRNA from 1 species